UUGCAGUCAAGCAGUGCGGUCUUACGGUUCGCUUCCAUCGCGAACAAUCGCGUGUGCCGGCCCUUCGAUUGUUCUUUCGUCUCAACACCCUCGUAACGAUUAUUUCCAAUUCCUUUGCAACUAUUUCCACUCAAAUUAUUCCUACCUUCCUGCCCAUAGUUUCUCAUAGUUUGCCAGAAAUUUUCUCCAAACCUUUUCAAACAUCCGCAAGCUCAAGAAAACACAUUCAUCCGCAUAGUGGCCUAGAAUCUCUUAAUCUCUUUGAGCUUUCCGCUGAGACACGUGUUCGUGAAAACGGGGUUAUGCGAGUUUUCUGCACUUGCUGAAGCUAAUUUAUCACGAUGACACUUCGGUAUAAAGUAACGCCAGAUUUCCGAGUGGUUCUGCCGGAGAAUUUGAUGAUGUUCAGACUUGGACAAUGCUGGUGAUGUGUCCGUGCUGAAGCCUUAGGUGACAGGGGUUUUUGCGAACAUUUUUACUCUCAAUAGACAGAUUUUCACGUGGCUAUACAACGAUUCUCAGCAGCAGAUUUACCUGAUUGCUAUGGACACAGCUCUUUUGCCGAUUUAAUAAGUGGACAGAAUUCUUUUAGAUACACAAUCGGUCACUGUUUGAUGACCUCAAUUCUGAUUAGUGUUUACAGUGAGGUUCUUCGAAGUGACAAAUCUUUUUUUAAAAAUAAACGACAGAUGUAACUCGGGCCUAGCCUUAUGAAUUAUUUCAGAUCCUCCUAAUGACCUGUUGUAGACAGCGAGGUUUUUCAAAUUGAGCAACUAGUUUUACAACAAAAUACAUCGAAUGUAAUUUGGUUAGGAUCGAUUGAUUAAGAUUUUUAACGGUCCUAAUGGAGAUUCAAUUAAAUCUUUUAAAGCAGGAGAACCUACGAUGAUCCUGAUAAUGAUUUAACGGAUAGUUGAUGGAUAGCGAAGUUUUUGAGGUUAGUUCGUUCAAGAACGAAAGACACUGAACUAAAAUUGUUCAGACAUAGCUAAAGUUCUAGAGGAGCGGUUCUGAUUAUAGUCUGCAAUCGAACAAAAGAUAACUUCACUUCUCUAUCUGAGUAAUCUUUGGCCACAGUUAUUCUACUAAGUGUAUAAGUAUGUGAAGAGGAAACUGUACGUUGAAUAGAGGAACCAGUGCUGCUCUUAAUUAAAGCAAUCGAUCAAGAAACAUUGAGCAACUGAGAAGAGGAUAUAGAUGAAACUACCGGAAGAGGACGACAAAAGUGGCCCAGCAACUACAAACUAACCAGUAAUACACAUCGGCCUUUUCGUCACAGAGUGACUAAAACUAAAAUUAUAAGAGUGACGUGUCUUUAAAUAAAUGUAAUUUAAAAGUAAAAUUUGCAAUAUUAAUUAAAAAAGUGUAGAACUCUUCAAAGAAUAGUUUCAUAGAAUACUUUACGUCUUGAUGAAAAUCUUCACUAAUCUUCAAUAAGUGAAAACCAGUGUGUGUCUUGUAAAUAUUAUACAUUUAAAAUUUUUGAAAAUUACAUAAGAUUUGCCAGAUUUUAAAACUUCUCAGUACCUCAACGAUAAUCCCUAGAUAACUAGAUUUAAAAAGUCACUAGUUUUCCUCUCUACAAUUUUUCAUAAAUAUAAUCGAGUUUCUUCUGGAGGACCAACGCACUUCGCUUUUUCUACUUUUCACGUUUUCGAGAGUUUUCUUACUAACAACGAAUUAGAAAGAGAAUAAGAGCAUCAAGAAAGAGCUUGGAAUUGACACUUUCAAUGGAAGAGUUGAAAUAAUCGUUGCUGAUUU